GCGGAGGAGGGGGACCGACGGGGGCGAAGCCGGGCUGCGGGCGGCCUGCAAAUCCCAGCUGACGGAGACUCAGACUCGAGUCCCUGAGUCAGUGACCGGGGCCCGAGGCAGUCGUCGCCACCGCCCGCUCCCAACCCCACACUGGCUCCCAGCGAGCAGCUCCGACCCCCCGCUGAAGGAGCAUCUGAAAGACUUCAUCCUCAACUUUGACUCCACGCUGGAACUUCUCUAUCAUAAUGGUGAAUACCUUUGAGGUCAUUUUCCUGGUAAAGAAAACAAAAGUAAAAUAAGAGAUCCUGCGCUAGGUCUUGGGGAUAUAAGUGCAAAGAAUGAAACAAUCCCUCCCUCAAGGUGCUUACAUUCUAAUGGAAAAGGCAACA